UUGCUGACUGCAGCGAGCAGAAGAGGAAACAGACACUGCUCCGCUCCCCACAGAGAUGGCUGGUGGUCGCUUUCGCUGCCUGAGCUGCCUUCUCGCGUACACGGCCGCGCUGCUUCUCGGGGUCUCCCGCCACGGCAGCGAUUCAAACGAACUCAAUUUAUGCCGAUAUCUCAGAUUUUUCAUCUGCAGUUGGUCCCUCUGAUAAGCCCUGCUCUCUGUACGACACUAUUGACACCAGAAACAGCCCGGAUCACCAGAU